rnacentral:rRNA from 1 species
UACAGAGGGGGCAAGCGUUGUUCGGAAUUACUGGGCGUAAAGGGCGCGUAGGCGGCCUGUUAAGUCGAACGUGAAAUCCCCGGGCUCAACCCGGGAACUGCGUCCGAUACUGGCAGGCUUGAAUCCGGGAGAGGGAUGCGGAAUUCCAGGUGUAGCGGUGAAAUGCGUAGAUAUCGUAAGGAAGACCAGUGGCGAAGGCGGGUCUCGUGGACAGUUCCUGACGCUGAGGCACGAAGGUCAGGGGAGCAAACGGG